rnacentral:rRNA from 1 species
AUCGAACGCUGGCGGCAGGCUUAACACAUGCAAGUCGAACGAGUGGCGGACGGGUGUGAAAUAUGCGGGAAACUGUGCGCUGGCGGGGGAUAUAUACUGGAAACAGUAGCUAUUACCGCAUACUAGCGGAUGUGCCCAGAGGGGAUUAGCUAGUAGGUGGGGGAAAGGCUCACCUAGGCGACGAUCCCUAGCUGGUCUGAGAGGAUGACCAGCCACACUGGAACUGAGACACGGUCCAGACUCCUACGGGAGGCAGCAGUGGGGAAUAUUGCACAAUGGGCGCAAUCCUGAUGCAGCCAUGCCGCGUGUGUGAAGAAGGCCUUCGGGUUGUAAAGUACUUUCAGCGGGGAGGCGUUACCCGCAGAAGAAGCACCGGCUAACUCCGUGCCAGCAGCCGCGGUAAUUC